rnacentral:rRNA from 1 species
GCGGCGGACGGGUGAGUAAUGCCUAGGAAUCUGCCUGGUAGUGGGGGACAACGUUUCGAAAGGAACGCUAAUACCGCAUACGUCCUACGGGAGAAAGCAGGGGACCUUCGGGCCUUGCGCUAUCAGAUGAGCCUAGGUCGGAUUAGCUAGUUGGUGAGGUAAUGGCUCACCAAGGCGACGAUCCGUAACUGGUCUGAGAGGAUGAUCAGUCACACUGGAACUGAGACACGGUCCAGACUCCUACGGGAGGCAGCAGUGGGGAAUAUUGGACAAUGGGCGAAAGCCUGAUCCAGCCAUGCCGCGUGUGUGAAGAAGGUCUUCGGAUUGUAAAGCACUUUAAGUUGGGAGGAAGGGUUGUAGAUUAAUACUCUGCAAUUUUGACGUUACCGACAGAAUAAGCACCGGCUAACUCUGUGCCAGCAGCCGCGGUAAUACAGAGGGUGCAAGCGUUAAUCGGAAUUACUGGGCGUAAAGCGCGCGUAGGUGGUUCGUUAAGUUGGAUGUGAAAUCCCCGGGCUCAACCUGGGAACUGCAUCCAAAACUGGCGAGCUAGAGUAUGGUAGAGGGUGGUGGAAUUUCCUGUGUAGCGGUGAAAUGCGUAGAUAUAGGAAGGAACACCAGUGGCGAAGGCGACCACCUGG